rnacentral:rRNA from 1 species
AGUGAACGCUGGCGGUAGGCCUAACACAUGCAAGUCGAACGGCAGCACAGUAAGAGCUUGCUCUUACGGGUGGCGAGUGGCGGACGGGUGAGGAAUACAUCGGAAUCUACUUUUUCGUGGGGGAUAACGUAGGGAAACUUACGCUAAUACCGCAUACGACCUACGGGUGAAAUCAGGGGAUCUUCGGACCUUGCGCGAUUGAAUGAGCCGAUGUCGGAUUAGCUAGUUGGCGGGGUAAAGGCCCACCAAGGCGACGAUCUGUAGCUGGUCUGAGAGGAUGAUCAGCCACACUGGAACUGAGACACGGUCCAGACUCCUACGGGAGGCAGCAGUGGGGAAUAUUGGACAAUGGGCGCAAGCCUGAUCCAGCCAUACCGCGUGGGUGAAGAAGGCCUUCGGGUUGUAAAGCCCUUUUGUUGGGAAAGAAAAGCAGCAGGUUAAUACCCCGCUGUUCUGACGGUACCCAAAGAAUAAGCACCGGCUAACUUCGUG